GUCCAUAGUGCCUGGCACAGAACUCCUGUUGAGGAACUCCUGUUCCCUCAAACCCCUGGAACACCACACAGAGAACUAUCUCCAGGCCUGGACUUCCCCUGACUUGGAGACAGCCUUAUUCUCAGAUCUCUCUCUCUUUUAAAAUGGACUAUCCUCUUUACAACCCAGAGAGCCCCAUCCAAAUGUCACUCAUGGUGGAAGAAAUCUGAUGCCAUGUCUUGAGGACACUCAAGUGGCCUAUGGAGAGGCAAACAUAAAGAUAAGAAACCCAAUCUCAAGCACUAUGAGACUCCCUCCUCUCCAUCUCCAAGGGUCAGGCCAUGGUCUUAGUCAUUGCCAAGAGCAUCACAGAAGGCCUCUGCCUCCGGUUCCUACCUGGGCCCUUUCUAUGCUCGUUAACUGAUGCUGCAGCCUGACUUCUUCAAGACUAAGUUGGGCUGUAUGCUUGCAGUCAUGGGAGGAAAACAAAAGAGGGUAUAAACACAAUGCAAUGCCUCGACAAAUCACUCCAUCUCAGGGGGUCAGAAACUAAAUUAAAUGUUAGGAAAAACAGAAAAGAAAUAAGCAACAUAGUGCCAGCCUUUGGGUUCUUAGACACUCAAAAGGAAACAGAAAGUACAGAAACAAUACACCAGGAAAUAAAAGAGGGCAUUUUUAGAAGUACCAUUUAAAUUGCAAGGGCUGCAGGAAUCAACAGAAGGAAAUAAUCGGGGCGAGGGGGAGGGGACUUAAUAAGAAUAAUAAUUAUAUAUUCCCUCAAAUUUGUAUGGAAUUUAUAAAUUAUGAGGGACUUUUCGCACAUUUAUAACUUCAUUUUAGACACGCACAAUGAAAUUAAGUAAAAUGGGGUUGGCGGGACAGAUGGUAACAACUUUAUUUUACAGAUGAGGAACUUGGACUCAGCUAGCUUUGGCGACUUGUUGAGAAAGUCAGAACCAGUUAGUUGUGGAAUAUAAAAUUGAGCUCGGCUCUCUUCCUACCUAGUCUUUUCUCUGCUCCGCUCCCACACUUCAGUGAGAGUUGCUUUCCUGAAGGAGUAAGUUCUAAAGCAGGAUUGGAAGUUCCUAUAGGGACAAAGAGAGGAGGCAUCCACGAGUGGCAAGGAGUGUGAAAGGGAUGAAAAACACAUAAGAAGAAAUGGAGACAGGCAGAAGGUCCCAGCUACAGGACAGAAAAGCCAGGGUGUGGGCUUCUGAGAGAUGAUGCUGAGUGGUGAGUCACGGGUGACUAAGGGAGCCAUUGACAUCAGAUUGCAAAUUCUCCCCUCCUACCCCGUGACGAAGAAGUUUAUCUCCUAUGUCUCUUUAUAUAUGAAAAACCAUAAAGAAAACACCAGUAUCUUCACAUAAUGUACCAUCCAAUGAAAGCAUACGCCAUCUCACUUGGGCCCUUUAUCAAUCUUAGUCACAGUGCCCAAUAUCGUUUCCAUUUCUCAUUCUCUGAGUUCUGUUAUCCAAAGCUUAUCCUCUUGCCUGGACUAUAGAGACAGAGGUGAAAUCUUUGAGAAGUGGAUCCUAUCCACUUGUCAUUACACCUCUGUAAUUCUUAGUGAUGUUCCACGUUGCCUCCCACACUGACCCUGUACAAACCAGUGCAAGAGUUUCGGGGGUGGGGGACUGUUACUUGAGCCAACUUCUUCCAUCCUGCAAAGGCAGGGAUGGAGCUCAGGAGAUGGUGUUUUGCAUCACUACAACUGGAACAAGAUGAAAGGUCUCUGAAGCAAUAAUGAGAUCCAGGCUUGAUUCAGGACAAGAGGCCAGAUGGGAACAGUAGAGCAUUAGGAUGUUGUGACGCUGGGGUAACCUUUCCAUAAUGAUGUUGUGUGGCCUGAAGUUUGAUGCUGAGAAUCUACAGUGAUUUCUGGCUUAGAAAUAAGAAAUUGAUCAGUAAAUGAAAAAAAAAAAAAGUCUACCUGUAUCCAAUCUCUCCCCACAAGCCCCCCUCCCAGCAUUGUUAUCUAUUUGUAUACGCAACAGUAUUUUAGCAAAUGAAAAUUCUCAGAAUUCUAAUCACAUCCUUAUCCCAAAGCCUGGAUUUCAUCAGAAAGCUUUAUGGUGCUUCUGACUCAGUAGAGUUAGUUAUCCUGUUUAAUUGGAUUGACAGUGACAAUUGUAAUUACCUUAGAUGAGAUUGCCUGUAAUGUAAUUAUACUUCCUUCAUCUGCAUGAGCUGGACUUGUGGAAUACAUACAGAAGAUGCCUCCAAUUACUGAGAGGUUAAGAAGAACAUUAUAUUGCCUCACAAAUCCUGUUUGUUACUGUAUAGAAUUGUAAGAAUUAUGGAAGAAACUGAAGGAAUUACUCCUCUAAAGCAGAUACUCCUGGAAAGUUAAACAACUUGGCUAAUACUCUCCUGCUGGAUUUGGACAGGAAGACCUCACCAAAGCUGAAAGAGUUCGUGGAAAACCAUGGAUGCCAGUAGAACCUGGAAACCCUACAUGGAGCAUAGUGUUAUGUGGAAAGGCUUUUGGAGCUCAUCCCAUUAGGAAGAAAGGAACCUCAAGUCUAAAUUAACAGCUCAAUCUUAUGGAGAGUUGAGUGGAGUGGCAAAGUAAUUACAUGAAGAGCCAAGUCAUAACUGGAUGAGGACAAUCAACCUGAAGUCUCAGACCAGCCUGCAAAAUCCAACAAGUUCUCGCUAAUAACAAAGAUAAUUAACAACUACAGAGCUUACUGAUGCACAGCAGACCAACUUUACAGGUCCUAAUAUUCUUUUCAUCUUUACACAUGACAAAAGUCAAGUGAAUUUUCUGGAGGUACACAAUAAGCAUUGGCAAAACCAGAAUUGAAACCCAGUUGGCUUCACACCAGAGAAGAAGUUCUUGCCUGGAUCCUAUGAAAUAACAACAAUCUUAUGAAAAUGGCAUACUCUGUGGGAAAUCAAAGUCUUGUGGAAAGAACAGCCCAGGGUAGACUGGCUUUGUCAUAGAAGAUUUGAUGGGCUUGCACUGAAGAGACAUAUUGACUUACAGAUGGCAUCAGAAAUGAGGGAUAUGUUGAAAUCAGAUGUAUGGAGUAGGAUAAAGUGACUUCCAUGUCAUUUAGAUGUCAACAUCAUAAGAUUGAGUGUUGAUAGCUGGGACAGAUGAAAAAUAAAGUUGAAGAGGCAGGGCUGAUUCCUGUGGAAAUUUCAAGCCAGGCUAAGUUUAGACUUGGAUUAUUAGGUAUAAGGAGUCCAGCUGAUUGAUGUUCAGCAUGGGACAUGUUUUAAUAGUGGCAAUUUAGGAAGAUUAAUGCCAUGUUAACUAUGAGAGAUGAAAGAAAGAAAGACCAGCAAUGAUGCACCACAGUUGUCUCCAUGAGACUCAAGAUGAGCCUCUGGACUAGCAGGGUGGCAGAGGGAAUGAACAAAAUGGGAUGAUUUCUUAAGAUAUUCCCAAGGGAGAAAUGAUAGAGCUUAACUGAUUGACGUAAAGGCCACUUUAGAGUGAAUAUAAGAUCAGUAUUUAAUUCAACGGAAGUUUGUCAUGUAAAAAUAAUUCUAUGUUCUGGAACUUUUGAAUAACUUCUUUAGCAUGCAUUUUGUGACUAAAUCUUGCCAGUUUUAUAAGGUUUAAUUUUGUUUUAGCUUAUUUUCUGAUUUUUUUUUUGGAGAAUAAACACUUUGUGAGUUGUUU